rnacentral:tRNA from 1 species
GGGCCUGUAGUGUAAUGGAUCAUCAUCUGGGCCUCCGGAGCCCAGGAUCCGGGUUCGAAUCCCGGCAGGCCUG